CUUACAAACCCCUCCCCCUUUUCCGUCCAAUUUCCACUUUUCCAAACCACCAUCGUUAACCAUUCCUUCCCCCACCAUUUUCUUUGACAUACCUCCCCUCGUUACUUUAACCAUUCUUUUUCAAAACUUAAACACUAAAACUCUUCCAUAAAACUCAUAUAAGUAUUAAAAAACAGAGAAUAACUAAGUGGAGAACCCUCCAAGGGUUACUGAUGGACCUUGCCAGAAAAGCUCAUCUCCAGGGACCUUUCUUUGUUUGUCUCAUUUUGUCAUGUCUGACAGAACCCUUGUACAUAUCAGUUAAUUUAAUUGUUUGAGGGAGUUGAAGUGAAGAUGCCUCCGAUUGGACUCUAUCGUUGCCACCUUCGCCGGGCAAAUUUGAAAGAAUCGACUCCAAUGAAAUCUUCAGUCUUCUCUCUUUAUCAUCUUCUUGAUGCUGAAUUUGGGUUAUAUCACUGUUUCUAGUUUGUUAUUUUUUGUGUAAAUUUCUCCUUAAAUUGUUGUCUAGCUGAUUCAAGCAAUUGGUUCUUGUUUUUGUGUUUCUGUGGAAGUAAGAUGUUGUCAUCAGUAGUUAUUAAAGGGGUUGUUGGUAUUUAUUUGGUGGAGAUAAGGAUGAUGGGGUGAUGGAGAUGAGGGUGAUAGGGCUAUUGGUGUUUAUGUGGUGGCAACUUAGCAGUGAGAAGAAUUGUAGAAGACGGUGUCUUAGAUAAAGCUGUAGUAGUAUAGUUUUUUGGGUACUUAAUUAAGGCUGCCAUGGAUAGUGGUCGAUAAUGGAGGUGAGUGUCGGCUAUGAAGGAAGGAGAGAGACCAAGAGAAAAAGAUGUAUUUUUCUGUCAAAGAAAAAGAAAAUUAGGUUGAAAAAAUAACUUCAAGCGCUCAAAAUCUUGUUAUCCAACAGGCAUAUGCCACAUCAGUCACAAAGGUUCAGAAGAUAUGCUUAUGGUAAGUAGAGGUGUCAACUGAUCAUUGGGGACAACUUAAAUGGGCCAUUUAUAUAUUUUGCCUUAUUAUUAUUAUUAUUAUUAUUAUUAUUAUUAUCAUACAAAGAAUAAGAAGACAUUCGUGAUAACGUGCAGUAGAAGAAAAUGACACUGUCCAAGAAUAUUUUAGCAAAAGCUUUUAAAAAGUUCUAAGCCAACAUUAUAACAUGAGCGUUAGGUGAAUGUGAAGAAAACGAGAUAGUUUAGGUAGAAUAAGAUUGUUACGUCUUUAUCAGUCAAAAUUGACACCAAAUAGUAAUCAGUAGUAACGCAUGUAUGAAUUGACACCAUCAGAACGAGUGAACGACCAUGCAGCAAUGUUUUUUCUUCUUUGACACGGAGAGAAGUAGAGCUCGGGUUGAAGGAAAGCAAAUGGCCAUCAAAGGUUGUGAUGAGAUGAAAAAGAUCUCUCUAUCCUCAAUCAAAGGUCUCGUUAAAGCUCGGAAAAUAGAAAAAUUAUGGUAGUAAGCUCUCUCACGUAUAAUAAGUCUUACACUAAGCAAACCUGGAUUAAUCGAGCCUCAAUGUGCAUACCAAAUCUCGGAUGUCGGAAAAAAGGGACAAGGUAGUACCUUUCAGCUAGUACGUACCAGGAACAUAGUACUUUACAUUAUCAUUAGCUCUGAGAUUUUCGGGCUCAGUAACUUGAGGUUGGAAACGCCAACAAAAGAUUCAAGGGGCAAUGAAACACUAACAAAAGCGAGGCAUAGGCCAUCACACAAAAUGCAGCAAUUGAACGGCCCGAAAGAUCUGAUGCUCUGCCACCAUGAGAAUGAUUUAUGCAGCUUGAGAAAAUAUGCAAAAGAAAUGAGCGUGCAGCAUGUCAAAUCGAUCCAGACGGCUUGUUAACACUUCAUGAACGAACAAAUGACUGAACUAAGAAGGUACAAGCCAUUAGAUGUUUGAAAAGUUAGCAGUACAAUUAUAACUUCAGUUAGAAGAUCUUCAGAGGAGCGUACAUAGUCGAUCUCUUAAACUAAUUUUACAGAUCACUUGUAGAAUUCAAAGUCAGUGUCAGGCUUCUUCACAUUGGUCCUGUAGCCCUUUUCGAAGUCCUUGGGGAGAAUGACAUAUCGAUUCUUUCGCACUGCAUGCAUACCUGCUUCCUGACAAAUAGCUGAAAUCUGCAGACGUUGCAACAUGCAUCAAAUCAUGUUGUACGGAAAAUUGAAGGACAAAACCAGACACAGCACGAUAUAAAACAACUAUGUAGCCUGACUUCUAAAUUUAGAACAGUAGUGGAGCAUCCUAUUUCUCCCUCAAAAACAGAUGAAGAGCAAAGAGACAAACCUCAGCAGCACUAAUUUUAUCAGGGCGAGAAACAUAAUCUUCCAAGUCGACCUCAUCACCUAAGUUCAUCUUAGCAGUGCAGACCUGGACAAAAAUCAUCCAGCUUUAGAUUUUUGGUCUGUUAUGGGAGCGGAGAAAUAUCUAGAUAAUGAAUGAGAUACACAAUCCAUAAACCAAUCUCUCAAAACUUCCUUCCACAAUUUUUCACUCUUAAAUUAUUUUCUUUGGUGCUGGGGAAUACGAUUAAAGAAGAAAUCCUUAUACAAAGUCAUCCAAAAUUCUACCUGAAAAACAAGCCUCUUUUGACGCCUAUCAGGCAAAGGAAAUUCAAUCUUCCGAUCAAGCCUUCCAGGGCGCAAAAGUGCAGGAUCCAAAGUAUCAGCUCUAUUAGUUGCCAUAAUAACUUUCACAUUCACGGUCUGGUCAAAUCCAUCCAUCUGCAGGAGAAACACCAAACAGAAACUUCAUAAACAAUUCUCAGUGCAUGCAUUCUGACAGAUUACUUUAGAAGAAUACACAGAAGCCUACCUGAUUUAGCAACUCCAUGAGGAUACGCUGGACCUCCCUAUCAGCUCCAGUCUGAGCAUCAAACCUGGCAGUUGCAAUUGCAUCUACCUCAUCAAUAAAUAUGAUUGCAGGAGCAUUUUCUUUGGCAAGGCGAAAGACAUCACGAACCAUUCGAGGACCCUGCACAGUCAGAGAGCAAAUGAGAAAAUUAAAGCUUGAGUAAUAGAAACAAAUGGAGUCUCGUCACCGUUCAUGGACUGUAAAAUUGACUGAGUUUUGUCCCUCUUAACUCAGGAGUAAAAGGAAAUCUAAAGAAAAACAAAUUUGUAUGCAAGAAAUUAUAAAUUGAUCCGAAGUAGCAUCCCCAAUAAAACAGUUCUGUUCAACAUGAUGCGUGCGACAAAAUGUACAAUAUUGCACUCCAAGCUGCAUGUUGACAUAAUGGAACUGUUCUACUUGAUUGGGUGCGGAAAGAUGGUCCGUCUCUUAACUUAUCCCGAAAAAAUAAAGGAAAAACAAAAGAGUCCCUCCCCCCCCAAAAAACAAAAAUUGGCUUGUCUCUACAGCCACUUCCAAAUAUCAACAAAUGGUUCUUGCAUAGGAUGUUCUUAGUUUCACGAAAUAUUUUCUUGUAUAUCAUGUUGCUACUCAGCCUGAUUGGGACAGCAGAAUUCCAUGUCCCCUAUCUUUUAGUGAAUUAUAUUAGUGUUCUUUUCACAAAGUCUGCUAGAUGCCUGAGGAUAAUUGUCGUUUUAAUAAUUAAUGAACUAAUCUUUGAUCUCAGAUUAAAAAAUUAACCAAGUUAACUACUGCAAAUAGAACAAUAUAUACAAUUUGGGACAAAGGUAACAAUAAUUAAAUGCCUUAUUCUCACACCACAAAAAAGUCACGAAUCAUGAAAUUUAAAAGGGCAAAAAAGUCUUGGACAAGAAGCAAAUGCUUUCUUUCUCCAAGAUUCUUCCAAGAUGGAAACAAAUACUUUAAAAUCCAUUUUUUAAUCUGAAAUGACACAGUCAAGAUAGUUUGAAGAAAGAACAAAUGGGUGAGUAAUGAUUCAUUGAUGCACAGAAAUAACUGCUCAGACAAUCCCA
rnacentral:lncRNA from 1 species